rnacentral:rRNA from 1 species
UACGUAGGGUGCAAGCGUUGUCCGGAAUUAUUGGGCGUAAAGAGCUCGUAGGCGGUUAGUCGCGUCUGCUGUGAAAACUCGGGGCUUAACUCCGGGCCUGCAGUGGGUACGGGCUGACUAGAGUGCGGUAGGGGAGACUGGAAUUCCUGGUGUAGCGGUGAAAUGCGCAGAUAUCAGGAGGAACACCGGUGGCGAAGGCGGGUCUCUGGGCCGUAACUGACGCUGAGGAGCGAAAGCGUGGGGAGCGAAUGGG